CCUACGGGUGGCAGCAGUGAGGAAUAUUGGUCAAUGGUCGGGAGCCUGAACCAGCCAAGCCGCGUGAGGGAGGAAGGUACAGAGUAUCGUAAACCUCUUUUGUCAGGGAACAAAGGCGGGGACGUGUCCCCGGAUGAGUGUACCUGAAGAAAAAGCAUCGGCUAACUCCGUGCCAGCAGCCGCGGUAAUACGGAGGAUGCGAGCGUUAUCCGGAUUUAUUGGGUUUAAAGGGUGCGCAGGCGGUCUGUAAAGUCAGCGGUCAAAGCCCGGGGCUCAACCCCGGCCCGCCGUUGAAACUGGGGGUCUCGAGUUGGCGAGAAGUAUGCGGAAUGCGCGGUGUAGCGGUGAAAUGCAUAGAUAUCGCGCAGAACUCCGAUUGCGAAGGCAGCAUGCCGGCUCCACACUGACGCUGAGGCACGAAAGCGUGGGUAUCGAACAGGAUUAGAUACCCCAGUAGUC
rnacentral:rRNA from 1 species